rnacentral:lncRNA from 1 species
GAAAGUUGAUCCAAACACCAAGAUCAAGAAGGGCUAGUUUAUAGAGUAUAGCAAUUCAAUGUAUAGGCUCAUUCUGUGUUUUCCAAACUCUUCAUGAGCUGAUUGUCAGUCUGAAUUAAUUCUCAAAUACCUCUGAGAUGUCAUGGAAAGGAUUCUCAGAAUGGAACAACUAUCUUUUAAGCAUGGCACUCUGAAGCUCAAAAGACAGUCUUUGAAACAUUAAUGGAUUGAUUUACAGAGAGAUAACAAGUUUUUUAGACAAUUCCAAAAUGAGUUCCUCUGUAAAGUGCUUGCUGAACAACACAGAGAAUGGGUCUCCCAUACUGAGAGCAAAGAGAACGCGCAGGCUCUUCCAAAGGUAGGGGUUAUAAAAAUAAAUUGCCAGCAUCUUCGCCACUGUGUAUUUCUCAGGGGU